UACAGAGGUCUCAAGCGUUGUUCGGAUUCAUUGGGCGUAAAGGGUGCGUAGGCGGCGCGGUAAGUCGGGUGUGAAAUCUCGGAGCUUAACUCCGAAACUGCAUUCGAUACUGCCGUGCUUGAGGACUGGAGAGGAGACUGGAAUUUACGGUGUAGCGGUGAAAUGCGUAGAUAUCGCUUGGAACGCCAAAGGUGAAAACAGGUUGCUGGGGUUGUGCCGACGCUGAGACACGAAAGCCAGGGGAGCAAACGGG
rnacentral:rRNA from 1 species